rnacentral:rRNA from 1 species
GUCGAGAAUCUUUCACAAUGGGGGCAACCCUGAUGGAGCGACGCCGCGUGGAGGAUAAGGUCUUCGGAUUGUAAACUCCUGUCAUGCGUGAACAAGGUUGCUUGGUUAAUACCUGGGCAAAUUGAUGGUAACGCAAGAGGAAGAGACGGCUAACUCUGUGCCAGCAGCCGCGGUAAUACAGAGGUCUCAAGCGUUGUUCGGAAUCACUGGGCGUAAAGGGUUCGUAGGUGGCGUGGUAAGUCAGAUGUGAAAGCCCGGGGCUCAACCUCGGAACUGCAUCCGAUACUGCCAUGCUAGAGUACUGGAGAGGUGACUAGAAUUCUCGGUGUAGCAGUGAAAUGCGUAGAUAUCGAGAGGAAUACCAAAGGCGUAGGCAGGUCACUGGACAGUUACUGACACUGAGGCACGAAGGCCAGGGGAGCGAACGGGAUUAGAAACCCCGGUAGUCC